rnacentral:lncRNA from 1 species
UCCAUAGCAUUUUAUGGGGAGAAGGAGCUUGACUGGGUUGGGUUUUCUGGCUAGGAGCUUGGGUAUUUUUUAGGGGCCAUGGUCUCGUGAACCCUGCAAAUUCCAUGAGUUGAGAGAUUAAGAAUGGAACUUUCUCCUUUAAUAAACUUAAUUUGAAAAUUAGGGUUUAAAAUAAUCCAAUCAGUUAAAUUAUGCUUAAAAGCUAUAUACUUAAUUGUUUUCUCAGAUGUGAAAACAACUUUUAAAAUUCCUUGGUUCAAAAUAUCAGUUUGAAAUUUUGAAAUGCAUAAAGGAAUGCUUAAAAUGUCAUUUAUAAUGAGAUUAUGAAUGAAUUGGGUACCUAAUAUCUUAGGUGCAUCAUCUAUUCUAACAAGAUUAAUUUCUUGAUCACAAAGAGUGAUGUUUUCAACAGGAUUAGCAAAUUCAAAAAGAAUUUCCUUAUCAAAAAGUUUUGUUCUUAUACCUUAGUUAUCUACCCACAAGGGAUAAAUAGAGCUUAAAAAGGGUAUUCCUAGAAUGGCUUUUUCCUUAAGAUCCUUAACAAGGAUAAAGGUUUGCUUAAUACAGAUGUCAUGGUUACGGAUAUGAACAUCUGUUAAUUUAUACUUAAUGGCAAGUCUUUUGCCAUUGGCUCCAAAUAGAGACUGACUAGUCUCUUCACAUAAAGGAAUAGGUACAAGACCUUCUUGAAGGCAAUUUUCAGCUGCUCCUGAAUCAAUCAAAGCAAUAAUAUCAAGGACAAAUUUAUCUUUGACUACUAUAGUAAGGGAGACUUCCCACCUCUGGAAGAUAACCCUACUCACAGUAUUCAAAAAAGUAUCUGUCUCAUUAUCAUUAACCUGAGAAGAUUCUGGAAUAUCCAUAUGGUUUUCUUGGUUGCCAAUUCUAUUGAUUUGAUCUUGGAGAUCCGAGAGACCUAAACUUAUGAAUUGUUUUAACUCCUUAAUCUCAUUUUUAUACUGCUUAACUUCUUCAUGAAGUUCCUUAAUGCUGACUUCCUUGGGAGACUGCUGGUCAAACCUGUUUAAGAUAUCAUUAAGGUUAUAAGGAUUAACAGUCUUCUUAGCUUCAACCUUAACAACAGAUUUCUUAAAAACUUCAUAAAGAUUUUGCUUAGUCUUUUCAUCUUCAACUUUUCUUAAAGUGUCUAGGAUAAAUUCCUGAUCUUGGCUUAUGACAUUUAUAGUUUUAGGACGACAAUUACAAUUACCUUUUAUACAUUCUACUUGGUCACUAGAAGAUUGGCUAGAAACUUCACCACUACUGUCUAGUUGAUUAAUGUCAUCUUCAUUAUCUGAAUCAGUCCUUGAUUUAGAGUCUGUGGAGUUUAACAUUACCUUACAAAGCAUAUUUUUUAGAUCAUCUGAGACACUUAAGUUAUUAAUUUUUUGCUUAACUCUACAAUCUUUUUUAUAAUGGCCAACUUUGCCACAUUUAAAACAGAUAAUUGGCUUGACAUCUAAAGGAGUUUCUACCUUUUUCUGGGUAUCUUUGUUGACCCUUCUUUGGAAGUGUCUUGACUGCUUAGUAUUAUUCAUCCUAUAAUUGUCAUGGGUACCUCUCUUACUGUGGUAAAACUUAUCUUUAUUAGGCUUCCUACUUGGUUUUUGCUUAGAGGGAGGCAUAGUUUCUUUUUGGCUGAAACCAAACUGGCUACAGAAUGAUCCAAAUUCAUUCUUGUAGAUUUUUUGUUCAUUCUUCAUUUGUUGCUUAAGCUUGGAGUCAUUGCACAACUUAAUCCCUUCAGCUGUGACAAUGCUUAUAAUUUCACCAUAGGUUAACUUAUCAUAAGGGAUUUGACCAUUAUACUGUUCCCUUAUGUUGAUCCUAAUUCUCUCAGAGAAAAGCUUGGGUAAUCCUGAGAUGAAUUUUUCUUUCCAAAAAGACUGGUUACAAUCUGAUCUUAGCAUGACUUUGGUUAGGAAGACUUCCUUAUACCACCUAAAAUCAUGAAGCUUGGGACACUUAAGGUUGGUUAAGAGAUCUGCAGUUUUAUCUUUAAUUUUUGCUGGAUCUCCAAUGAAGUGCUUGGAUAUUGAGUAGAUUAGAGUAGCCACUGCAUCCUCUAUAUCUUGGUCAUCUUCAUCCUUAACAACUUCACUAUUCUCAUUAAUCCUAUAGGCUUUAAGGAUACUAUUUCUAUCAUCAAAAGUGAGAUAAUUAUCCCACCAACCCUUAAGCUGACCUGUAAACCCAGCAACAAUGGUCUGAGCUACAGCAUGAUCUGGCAGUCUACAGCAUGAUCUGGCAGUCUAUUGUUUAAUUUAUAGGUUGUACUUACCAUGGUCAUUUCUUGAAGCUUAGUAAGUAUGUUAUACUCGGUCAUACCGUCUAUGUUCCAUUCAUAGAUAGUACCACUGGUGUAUGAGGCUUGAGUAUACUGAUUUCUUUCCUCAAACUGCAUGUCAGGAAAAGUGGGCUUAGUAUAGUAAUUCCUAGUCUUAAAGGCUUCUAAGUUGUUAAUAUCUUUUGAAAUAAUUUGAUUAUGGGGUUCCUCAAACAUCUUAAUUAGUUCAUCAGCUUCUUCUUCUGAACUAAUAUCACCUUUAACCAUAUUGAUUCUCUUAUGAGGCUGGACAGUUAAGGGAGCAACAAGAUUAUCCUUAAUCUUCUGAUUAAUCCUAUCAACAAAAAACUGGUUGAUUUAGGGAUUUUCCUGGAAUUCUUUAGAAAAUUCAAAGGACUUAGUUUUAUCAGUGCUCUUAGUGUUAUUAACACGCUUACAAGGAUAAUCUGGAUAUUCCUCUUGUUUGAAGAGUUCAAACCAAAUCCAAAACUUAAUAUUUUUCUUUUCUUGUCUUAAGUAGGCAUAGAAUUCUUCUUGGUAAAUGGCUCUAAUGACUUUAGGGAUAGUGCUAAAGAACCAAUCAUUUCUUUGCUUAUUGACUUCAGAAUAGAAGUCCUUUCUUAAGAGAUCUUUGUUGAUCUCAAAGUCCUCAUCACUUAGGCUUAUUGUGUUAAUCAUCUGGGAAUAGGUAGGAGACAUAACAGGGGACUCAUCCUGUUGGGAUUCCUGAGUAGACUCAUUUUCCUCAGAGUAAAAUGGUCUAGCCACAUUGGUGUAACUUCUGACACCUGUUAGCUUAAUGUUCUUAGGAUUUCCUGAGUUGGAUCCUUCUUCUUCCCUAGUGGUUCUAACUGGGAUGGAAGAGCUUGAAGCUCUAGAGGGUUCAUAAACAGAAACUCUAUGGCUGCUAGAAUGUCUGAAAGAUUUGAAGAAAUCGAGUUCUCCUCCUCCAUCUGGAUAUUGAACUAUUUGUUCAAUACUUUCAGAACGCUGUGCUAUGGCUGGAACAGCAUUAGCAAAAUGCCAAUUUUCAGAGAAAUCAACAUCUUUCCAUAAGAUCUUAUUGGGGAUGAUGAAAUCUGACUUAUCUAGCAUAUCUGAGUGAAAGUAAGUGGUCUCACCUUUAGGACUGGUGCAAAGAGCCCCAGAUCCAACGCUUGUGUUCAUGCUCUUAUAGGCAAACCUGGUUAUGAUUGAAACAGGACUGUUUCUUGGUUUGAUCUUAAAGUCAUGGGUCUUAAUAUGCAGGACAACGGAAUCUAAGAUGUCUACAUCUCUUAUUCUAACAGUGAAGUUAGGAUAGCAUUGGAAAUAAACUGGGCCAUCAUUCAGUCCAGCUUGGACUGCGCCUAUAAUAGAAUCUCGAUAUUCGAGAUGCCUAUUAUCCCUUAAACACAUGACAAUAGAGGUGUUUAAACCUAAUCUUGUCAAAGGCUUAGCUGCUACUUGAAUCAUACCAAAGUGUAUGAAAUUAUAGCCAUCUUUCUUAUGCUUUUCAACGGAUCUGUUAUCUAGAAGUCUUAUGACUUGAUCGUCUUGUUUUAAGCUGACUGACAUUUUAGAGGUCUUGAUGGUAUAAUCUGUGAAGAACUUAAAGGUUCCUUUCUUAUAAAUUUCUUAAUUAUACACCUUGGGUAACUUCCAAUCAUCUAAAUCAUUUUGGAUCUUAGGAUAAUUGAUCUCUUCACUGUUUACAACAGUAUCUUGAGAAUCACUGGAUCUCCUAGACAUGGUUCUGAAAAUUGAACUCAUUUUAGGGUUUUUGAACUAGAGCCUAAUAGCAGAUUGACAAACCUUAUGAGACGUCACCCCAACCCUCUUACAGCCUAACAAACGCCUAUCCACGGCUAAGAACGGCUCAACCGGCAGGGCUCGUGCUCCUAGGCACACUGCUACCUAUCCUAGGAUAGGCCAAGAACACCCAAAACAAGACCCAACUUCCCUCCCACAUGGCUCUGAUACCAUAGACACCCAAGACAAGGUCAUAUGCAAUGAAAACAGGAAUUAUGUCAUGAUUCAAAACAAAUAAGAGGGUUAGAAAUCAAACAUGAUUUCCAACAAAGAAAUUUAAAGAGAAGGAACCAAAAAACUUGUUAGUUCAUAAUAAGCUUAAAACCGACCAUGUAGGCGGUACAAAAUAAAAACAUAAACUUAAAAACAAAGCUUAAUUAAAACCGACCAUGUAGGCGGUAUAAGAACAUAAAAUGAAAUGAAAAUAAAACUUAAUUAAAAACCAUCCAUAUAGGAGGUAAUCAAAACAUACUUAUAUUAUACAUAAGGAGAAAUAUCUUACAAUGGACAAAGGUAGGAAAGCUUGAAGGGGUUACAUGAUGAGAGAGAAAGAAGAGAGAAGGGAGAGCAUAAGCUUAGGAGAGAAAUGGAGCAUAAAAAUGAACGUAAAUUGAACCUUUUUCACAAAUGAGGACCGACCCUCCUUAAAUAGGCAAAAAAUGAAUCUUGAAUAGUAACCAUGAACAGUAAACCCGUGCUUGAAUAGUGAAUAGUGAACAGUGAAUAGUAAGAUUCACUUUUAUACCGAAAACCCCUAAAAACCCUCUUUCGGCUGAGAAGACUUCUGGCAGGCUGCUUUAUAUUGUGUAGACACAUGCUUGCUGCUUUUGGUGCAGAAACUGCAGAGCUUGUAGAAUAUUCUUGUUGACCGGCCAUCAUGAGAAAUCAUGCUGGAAAAGCUUGUUGAAGAGGAUAAACUUGCAAGCUGAUAAUCAUGAAGCUUUGUAAUUUCUUAUUGGUGGAAGAAUACUUUCACAGUCGUCUCCAUUGUCGGGAAGGUAGCUUGUGGAGUCAUCAGACUCUGCAUAAGAAUUUUCUUGGGAGAAACUUGAGCUUCCUUCUUCAAGGAUUUUCUAGAAAUCUUGAGGGGUCUUAGCUACUGCGAGCAUGGCCUGUAACUGUUGCUUUUUAAGGAGAAACUGAGACAUAUCAUCACUGGCUGAAACUUGUGUGGGGUUCUGGAGGAAAUAUUGCUUGACUGUAUUAAUAGAUGCAUCAUUUUUUAAAGCAUCCCACCAUUUUGUUUUAAAGGUCCUUUCCAGAGAUGGAAAGACUGCUGAUUCAUCUGUAAUGAUAAUAUAGUCCCACUGGACUAUCCAAGCAAGGCCAAAUUUGCUGAAGAAGAAUAAUAAAGGGGGAAAAGCUUAAAGUUCUUUGGGGAUAACAAAAGAACUUCUGAAUAGCUCAAAGCCAUCCAGGAUGGGCUUGGGAAGAAUCUUAAUAGUCGGACCAUAAUAAUUCCACCAACUGUAGAACCAAAAUGGGAAAGAGGAAAGUUGAUUCUUAGAAGGAAAAUAGAACAUCCAUGAAUGAUGGAAGUCCCUGUUCUGGAUCAGAAAAGCAUUAAACCAUGCUCUCUGAUAAUCCCAAUAAUUAAAAAACCUUGGCUUUGAUGGUUCAGAAAAUUCCCUUAAAAGAUUAGGAUUUCCACCCCAUUGCUUGAUAAUAAGAAUCUUAUAGAUAUGGCAGGUGGAGAAUGCCAAACCCAUAUUGCUAAAUUUUUCUGCAUUAUGCUUAAUUUUAACAGAACCAGUUUCUGUAAGGACUGCUUCAUAAAACUCUCUUGUUCUUAAAAUAUCACCAGAGGGAUAAUGAAAAUUUUCUUGAAAAGCUUUUGCAGCAAUUUCUCUGGGGUUUUCAGAGAAAAAUUCUCUUUCAAUAACCAAAAGAGGUUGAUUUAAAUCAUUUUGCCAAUAUCUUGAUUUUGUUGAAAGAAGUGUGGGGUUGGCAGCCACCACAAUUUGCUUGUUUGAAAAAGAGGAGCUUGAUGCUAAUUCAUUUUGAGAGAGAUUAGCCUUAAUGACUUGCUUGAAGGUCUGAGACCUUGAAAUGGCUGGAUACUGAGUGGCUUUGACUGGAUUAGCUAGAUCUGAAUGAUCAUAGUACAAGGUCAUCAUCUUGUUAGGCAUAGGUUUAGAAGAAUGAAGCCUUGCUUCUUCUUCUUCAACUUGUUGGCUCCAUAGCAUUUUAUGGGGAGAAGGGGCUUGACUAGGUUGGGUUUUCUGGCUAGGAGCUUGGGUAUUCUUUUUAGGGGCCAUGGUCUCAUGAACCCUGCAAAUUCCACGAGUUGAGUGAUUAGGAAUGAAACUUUCUCCUUUAAUAAACUUAAUUUGAAAAUUAGGGUUUAAAAUAAUCCAAUCAGUUAAAUUAUACUUAAA